CUCUUAUCCAUGUAAAAUCCACUCAUAACUUAUGAGUCUUAUCCUUUCAGGUGAACCAAUGAAUGUCCAAAUAUUAUUGAUCUUUAUGGACUUUAUUUUAGAUUUAAUGGUUUCAAGCUAUUUCUCAAUGUUAGAUCCUUGUAUUGCAUUUGUAUGAGAGAUCAAAUCUCCAUCUCGAAUCUAAAAAUCAAAGUAUCUAUUUGGCUGAUACGGUAC
rnacentral:lncRNA from 1 species